UACGAAGGGGGCUAGCGUUGCUCGGAAUCACUGGGCGUAAAGGGUGCGUAGGCGGGUCUUUAAGUCAGGGGUGAAAUCCCCAAGCUUAACUUGGGAACUGCAUUCGAGACUGCAUAGCUAGAGUAUGGGAGAGGGAAGUGGAAUUUCAGGUGUAGCGGUGAAAUGCGUAGAUAUCUGAAGGAACAUCAGUGGCGAAAGCGACUUCCUGGACCAAUACUGACGCUCAUGUGCGAAAGCGUGGGGAGCAAACAGG
rnacentral:rRNA from 1 species